UUGAGGACUAGCUCUGACUGGGUCGAGGUCAGUGAGGCAUUGUGCAACUCGACGUUUCCAUGUGACUAAAACUGAGAGAUGUUUCUUUCCCUGGAGGUCACCACAAAGACAGUUUUCAAAUAAAACUGGUUAUUGUAGAGUUCAGAUCCCACCGUGUACUGCGUGACAGAGCACGAGUUAAACUAAGAUUUGAUGCUGAAUUAAAUUAUUGAUAAUGCCUUUCGUAGAUCAAGAACUUGUCAUGGAGAAGGGGCUCGUGUACUCAGAGAGAUGGAGCUUAACGCCGCACAUGAAGAACAGAUCCGAGCUGAGAGAUCAGACUCUGAUCCUUAUGAAAAGUCCAAAAAGACAGUGUAAACUACCUGGACUAAAAAAGCUACGCAUUCUGACUGGUGCACAAAGAGCGGCAAAGGAUAAUCAGCUAAGCAGCAAUCAAAGCCAGUGCCUUUAGGGGUGGCUGUUAUUUCAUCGCCCUCAGAUGAGGGAUAGACUAACUGUAAUUUGAUCUUUGGUCUAACACAUCAGACCACAAACCCUUCCAAAGGGAUGUGGAAUGUGUAACGGUCCUGAGUAGAGGCUGACCGACUGAUCGGUUUUGCAGAUUAAUCGGCACCGAUAACUGAUUUCUGAACUAGCGGUAAUCUGCAACAAUCCACACCGUUAGUCUGGUCGCAUCCGUUGCGGAGCAGCUGGGAAGUCAUUAUAUGGUACAAGAGCGGCCUCUGGAGGUGAAAUGAAAACCAUUGAUAAAUUUUAUUGCGUUAUUUGAAGUUUUUGUUUAAAUUUUUUUUAUUCAUUUUUGAUGUCUUUUUUUUUUUCCCCGGGGCAUAAAUUUUUGGUUCAGUUUGAAUGUGUCAUUAUAAAAAGUACAAUACAUUUUCAGGGUACAGUCAGUACUGUAUUUUUUAAUUUAAUAAAAUUCAGCAACAUUUAAACUUGAGUGUUGUAUUUUCAUUCGGUAUCCAUUUUAAAAACUGCCGGUUGAUUAAUCGGGUAUGGGCAGGUGCUGCCCGACUUAGUUAUGGGUGAAAAUCCACAGCCCAUCGGUCGACCUCUAGUCCUG
ensembl:lncRNA